UUUUUUUGUCAAUUACACAGCUAAUACAAGAUUGAUGUACAUAACAAUGUAUCUACGUAAUGAAUAGAUAAAGAAUGAGACCUCCCAAUGGUUACUAUACAAUAAAAUUUAGUGACAUUGAGGUAAAAUUAACUUACAUAAUUGGAAACAUCCAUGUAUUCAUACUCCUGGAGACAAAAUAGAAAAUUACAAAAUUACAAAAGUCUCCAGCGAGUAAUAAAACAUGUUGCUUUGCAAGACAUAAGAAUCAAUAAUUGCAAUGAAUUCCUUUCUUAGAACUGAGAUAUUGACACAAAAUGCAAAAGGACUACAAUUUGAAGGAAUCACAACGUAAUUACAAUAUACGUCCAAUGACCACUUUGUAGCUCUCAAACAAAUCUGCAAUUUUUUUCU
rnacentral:lncRNA from 1 species